rnacentral:rRNA from 1 species
UCGAGCGAGUCUGCCUUGAAGAUCGGAGUGCUUGCACUCUGUGAAACAAGAUACAGGCUAGCGGCGGACGGGUGAGUAACACGUGGGUAACCUGCCCAAGAGAUCGGGAUAACACCUGGAAACAGAUGCUAAUACCGGAUAACAACAGAUGAUGCCUAUCAACUGUUUAAAAGAUGGUUCUGCUAUCACUCUUGGAUGGACCUGCGGUGCAUUAGCUAGUUGGUAGGGUAACGGCCUACCAAGGCGAUGAUGCAUAGCCGAGUUGAGAGACUGAUCGGCCACAUUGGGACUGAGACACGGCCCAAACUCCUACGGGAGGCAGCAGUAGGGAAUCUUCCACAAUGGACGCAAGUCUGAUGGAGCAACGCCGCGUGAGUGAAGAAGGGUUUCGGCUCGUAAAGCUCUGUUGUUGGUGAAGAAGGACGGGGGUAGUAACUGUCCUUUGUUUGACGGUAAUCAAUUAGAAAGUCACGGCUAACUACGUGCCAGCAGCCGCGGUAAUACGUAGGUGGCAAGCGUUGUCCGGAUUUAUUGGGCGUAAAGCGAGUGCAGGCGGUUCGAUAAGUCUGAUGUGAAAGCCUUCGGCUCAACCGGAGAAUUGCAUCAGAAACUGUCGAGCUUGAGUACAGAAGAGGGGAGUGGAACUCCAUGUGUAGCGGUGAAAUGCGUAGAUAUAUGGAAGAACACCGGUGGCGAAAGCGGCUCUCUGGUCUGUUACUGACGCUGAGGCUCGAAAGCAUGGGUAGC